CAACAUGGCAGAUGCGAAUGCACGUAUCCGAUUCAAAUCAGAUUUAUUCCCACAUAUGAAUGAGGCCUGAAACGGAUCUGAGAAUAUCGGAAUCCAUGUGUUUUUUUCUUCUAGUGCUUUUACAUUCUUGGGGGAAAAAUGGAGUUGGGUCACUUGAAGAAUGUAGUGUAAAUGCAACCAAACUGUCAGGUGUGCGUUGGAUCUGGGCCAUAGCAAUUUUUCUAUCUGGGUUCAACUCCAUACAUGAACAAUAGUGAAAUGUAAACACUAAACUGAAGAAAUGCCAUACUGUAGCCUAUAAAACUCAGUAUGCACGGUCAUAAAAGGAACAAAAUGUUAAGCACGAACAUGUCCCAGCUCUCACUUAUACUAAAGCCUAUAACUCUAGAUUUAAAUCACCAUGUGUUCAUUAUGUGGCGUAUAAAUCUGGGGAACAUACGUACAGUACACUCACCAGUUAGCAGGCGACCUUACAGCGCGCCUAUUAUGGUUUUUCAAAAUUACCUUUCAUGUAGUGUGUUAUAGAGCUGUUUGUGAAUGUAAAAACGUCUGCGAAGUUUCAAAAAUCUCAGCGCACGACAAACGGCGUUAUCGUCUCCCAAAAGAAGGAAUCGAUUCUGAACCGAUGAAACCAGACUUCCUGUACUAACCUACGUAGGUUUGUAAGGAGAAAAAAAAAAAAAAAACCGCCUCUUUUCUCCAUCGGCUGCUUGCUAACAGCGGUAGACCAAUCACAACACACUUGUGUUGGCACAUCUGACCAAUCAGAGCAGCGUAUGCUCUCUGAAAGGAGGCGUUUAGAACGAAUCAUUUAGAACGGAUCGUUUUUUGACACUGGGGGGAAAAAUGUAAUGCUUCAGUUUAAAUUAUGACAUUAUUAUUAGAUUAUUAAAGUGUUGUUUAUUUAUUUAUUUAUUUUUUUUACCUCGGAUGCAUGUAAAUCUACUAUGAGACCUCUAAAACAAAAUUAGGCACGUUUCAAAAACCAUAAUAGGUGCACUUUAAUGUUACUUUAUCCCAUUUGACAAGGACGGGUCAGAGGGUUUGGGGAGCGUUUGACGGAGAUUUGGCAACCCCGUGAGAAACAUUGAGGAAGAUUUGUUUACAUUGUGCCGCUUUUCUGUGAAGCAGCUGCUUUAGUUCUGAUCCAGAUAGCCUGUCGAGCACCAGAUAAUCCGGGCUCGUCGCUUGAUGUGCUUCAUCGAGUUGAUCCAACAUGGCGCGUAAUUCAGCAUGCCAGACUCCUUUAGACCCAGUGAGAAGGUUGCCAGUGAAGACAGGAAUCACUGUGCUGGUUACUGUUGUGUUUUUUAAAUGUUUAUUCUCGUGUCCGUGCGCGAGUCCGGAGGAAACCGCUGUGCACUGCUGGCUGUACCUGCUGCUUCCUGUAGGCAUCACCUUCUUCCUCGUCAUCCUGGUGGACACCCAGCUGCUGAAGCUGUGCCAGUGUUAUGUGUGCAGAUGUUGCGCGCGAGCAGAGAGCAGAUGUUGCGCGGCAGGCUGCUGUGACAGUGUGGAGUGCUGCUGCUGUGCUGCUGGUUACUGUUACAGACCGACACACUGCUGCGGGGAAGAGGUGCGUUACUGCUGCGCUCUUCUCGGGACCUACCUGCGGAGGGUUUUCUGCGCCUCGGCGCUGUGGAUCGUGGUCGCGCUGAUAGACGGAGACUGGUACGUCUGCAUCCGCACUGUGACUGCCGGCGGCACCGGACAGCAACAGAUCGCCUGCAAGGACCUCCCAACACCGGAGGAAGCAGAAACUCUGAGGAAAUACAAUAGUGAGUCGCGGAUUAUCGCUUUGAUCAUCAUCCUGGGUCUUUCCUUCCUGCUGGUGGUAAGUACCGCGAUCACGAGCAGGUGGAAGCCGUACUACAAGUCGGUGUUUGAGGCGUAUGUGGAGCAAGAGACAGCAGCCAAGCUGGAAGAGAAGCUGCACGAGCGGGCCGUGGAAAGAGCAAAGCUGCUCAGCGAGAGUGCGUUACGCUGCGUUCACAGUCAGCACGAGAACAGCGGACAGGGAGAGGGACACAUUCAGUACCAACCGCUAACAGAGACGGACGAGAACAUGUGGAGGAGAAUAUCCCACCCAGCAUUCCAUCUGCUAGGAGUGAGGAUCCAUUCCUGAGGUGUUCAGACAUCCAGGGCAUCGAGAGCGUCCUAUAUGAAUAUAUGAAGACCCAUCAAUGUGCGGGAGUCAAACGGCCCACGCUGACUCUUACGCCGUUAGCAGUGAUAAAAACAGACAAGCUAUACCACUCCAGUGAACCUGUAACUGACAAGCACGGCCUAUGACAUGAAGCUAAAGCCUUGCUCUCUUUUUAAAACGCUAUUUAAGAACUAUGUAAACAAAAGAUCCGGUAUUAGGAAAAAAACUCUUUCAGUUUCAUUUUCAAGAAACGCGCUCACAAACUCUAGACGGUGACACAGUCGGGUUUGAGGAACCGUUUUCGGAUAAACAGGUUCCGAGUUUGAAAGUAGUACAAUGGGAGGAAACGUGGAAACGUGUCAUGGCUUGUUGCCUCGCUGUUUUAACAUGAUCGUCUACAGACGGUUAGAGCGGCAGAAGAUUGAAGGGUAAGAUUAAAGAGUUAUAAUAUCUGUUAUGUUAUGUUUUUACCAGAUUCCGUUCUGACCCACAUCCUCAUUUACGGCAUUAUCCAGAGCGACUUAGAUUCAUCUCGUUCAUACGACUGAGCAGUUGAUGAUUAAGGGCCUUGCUCAAGGGCCCAACAGUGGCAACUUGGACCUUCUGGUCAGAAAUCCGAUGUCAUAUCCACUGAGCUACCGCUGCCACGAGUGACUGUUUUGAGCGAGCAUGUCUUGAUGAAGCGAGACGACAAACAGUGCAUGUUUUUAUAGCAGUUUACAAUGGACAAAAAUCUGCAGCUCGUCAGAGUUACAUUGGUUUAGGAUUAGGAUUAGCGUCAGGAUUAGGAUUAGCGUCAGGAUUAGGAUUAGCGUCAGGAUUAGGGUUAAUGCUUGUGCAUUGUUCUGUAUAUCAUCACAUGGCUGUGUAAUAUUUAGAUUCCAGAAACAAUAGGACUCCUGAAUAUGGAGAGUAAGUACUGCAUAUGUUUAGGGUUAAAGGAAAAAAAAAUGUUACGUGUUCAUUAUUGUACUGUUUGAUGUAUCGGAAGCUUAUUAUUAUUAUUUAUUUUGUGUGUGAAAAUUGUCUUCUUCAGCUGUACCGAAUCCCUUCAAUAACCAUGUGGGUUUUAUCGGCAGCCCGAGCCAAACCUUUGACCUCAUAACCUGAUGAUCACUGACCCACGGGAUUUCUGUGCUGUCUCCAAAGAGGUCACGUCUUUAUCUUUGUUACGUAACAGUAUCGAAAGCGGUUACACUCCGGGAUACUUGUUUGUUAGACAGUAAUGCUUUUUUUUUUGGAAAUUUUUACGCAUAGAUCUGCAUAACAGUUAUGUGUAAUUAUGUUUUAAUGGAACUAUAUCAGUUUGCAAUAAUGACAUAAAUAUUAAACAACCCAACAGACUGCUGGCCUCUCUCUCUCUCUCGCUCUCUCUCUCUCUCUCUCUCUCUCUCUCUCUCUCUCGCUCUCUCUCUCUCUCUCUCUCUCUCUCUCUCGCUCUCUCUCUCUCUCUCUCGCUCUCUCUCUCUCGCUCUCUCUCUUUUU
ensembl:lncRNA